UGUUGUGUUACUUCUCCUCUCCCUCCUCUUCCUCAUUUUUCGAUGUUGGCAUCAGGUCAAACACGGGAACAUUGAUGGUGAGACCAAGAACCAGGUGAAGUGUAAGAGGUGAUGUCUUGGAGGACAUCCAGCCUGAGAAGGACAGACAGGUGGACAUACAGGCCCCUAUAGAGGAAGACCCUCAGGAAGUGACCUAUGCUC